GUUAAAAACCAUUUACCGAUAAACCACAUUGUUUAUUCUCGUCUAGUCUGCCCAAAUCCGCUAGGGUUUCUGCAUAUGCGAAGGAAUACCAAUCGAAGGAGGUUUUUGCUGAAAUUUACAACAUAUUUUUGACUUUUCUAGUCAAAGUAAGUUUCUUUGUUUCUUUUUUUGUUACAUUUUACUGUUGGGUUAGGGUUUUAAUUAAAAUCGUUUAAUAUGCCAUUUGGUGAAGUUAAUGUUUGUCUGUUUAUAAAUAUUAUAUAUGUUUGUUUAUUGCUGGAUUUUGUGUAUUCCCGUGAUUUUGUUGGGGAUUUAGUGGGUCUUUGGUUGUCCCGAAAUCAGAUUUGUCUUGUAGGAUUUUUUUUGUUCCAUGCUUUAUCUUUAUACGUAUCUUUUCUGAUGUGGUCCCUUUCUGUUUUUAUUGUUUUCUAUUUUUUUCCCCUAGCUUUCGAAUGAUGAUUUCAGAGGUUGAUAUUGUGUUCAACUAUGGGGGUAAAUGGGUAUUUUCACCUGACCUAGUAUACUGUGAGAAACUUGUGCACUUAUGGACAUCAUUUGAUCCUGACUUAUUGAGUUAUAAGGAUAUACGUGAUGAGUUUACCUCUAGAUUAGGGUUUGUCAAAGUUAAACAAUUGUUAGUGGUUGGGCCUUCAGGUAAGUACUAUUUGGUAGAAGGUGAUAAGAGUAUUAGGGCUCUUCUUUGCUUAUUAUGUAACAAAUUCAAGGUCUUAAAUUUCUUUGCUGUUGAUGAGAGUGAGUCGACUGUUUUUUCUCUGCAUAUCACAGACUGUGAACAUAGUCUUGGUUCUGGUGGUGAAUAUGACCUUCAGAUGGUGAGGAAUAUAAUUAUGAGGAAAUGGAGGGUAUUAGCAAUGAAAGGAGGAGGGUUGUAGAUGAUAGGUUGGAAAACUAUAAGGAAUUGAAGCUAGGUAUGUCAUUUAAGGACGUGAAAGAAGGUAGGUAGGCUGUGAAUUUCUAUGCUUUAGCUAACAAAAAGGCUUUGGAGUUGAUUAAAUGUGAAAAAAAAGAACCAAGUAUGGUUGUCAAGAAGGCUGCCCCUUUAGGUGUCUAAUUUCUGAAGAUGGGAGAACUGGUGGGUUCAAGAUUAAAACUUGGAAGGAUAUACACACAUGUGAAGAUGCCUUUAAGAAUCCUAGAGCUGAUUAUGCCACAUUAGCUCAGUAUUUUAAGAGUAAGGUCCAAAAUAACCCUUACAUAUUAAAGAUAUGAGAGGUGAACUUGAAUAUGGUUUGAAGUUGAAUGUGAGUAGAUCCAAACUGAAAAGGGCUAAGAAUAUGGUUCUUCAGAAACUUGAGGGUAGUUUUAUAUAUGACUACAACAAACUUGAGACAUAUUGCCAAAAAUUAGGUUGUCUAAUCCGGGAAGUGAUAUAGUCAUAAAUAUCUCCAAAGAUGCACUAGCAGAAGGUAAGAGAAUUUUUUUGAGAAUGUACUUAUGCUUUAAUGCUUUGGAGCAAGGCUGAAAAAAUGGUUUGAGACCAUUAAUUGGAGUAGAUGGUACAUUCUUAAAGGGUAAAAUCAAGGAAAAUUGUUGGUAGCAUUAGGACAAGAUUCCAUGAAUCAUUUCUAUCCACUAGCAUGGGUUGUGGUGGACAAGGAAACAAGGAGGACUUGAGUUGGUUCAUGGAGCUGUUGAAGUUGUCUUUGGAGCUUAAAACUGAUGUAGGAAUCACAUUCAUAUCAGAUAUGCAAAAGGCUUGUUGGAUGCUAUUAGCACAGUAUUUCCUGAGGCUAAUCACAUGUACUGUGCGAGACAUAUUGAGGCUAACUGGUGCAAAAAAUGGAGGAGUAGUUGAGAAAGUUGUUAUGGUGGUGUGCAUGGAGUUCAUAUGAUGAGGAGUUUAAAGACCAAUUGAAAAAAUUAGGGAAUAUGUCAGAAAAUAUUGCAAAUGAUAUCUUAAAGUAUCCCCCAAGGGCAUGGUGCAGGGCUUAUCUUGGCAUUCAAUGUAAGAAUAUGAUGGUUGAUAAUAACUUCACCGAGUCAUUUAAUGCAUGGAUUCUUGAGGCUAGAGGAAAAUCAAUUAUCAAAAUGUUGGAGGAUAUACGAGUGAAAAUGAUGGUGUUGUUAGGAGACAGUGAGGCUAAGGUGUGAAGUUGGAAUGCAGAAUAUAGUCCAGCUUGCUUGAAGCUGUAUAGUGAUUAGGAGGGGAAUAGUAUAUGACUGUAAGGUCAUAUUCAAUGGAGAUUGGGGAUAUGAAGUGUCUGACGGAGAUGAUAGACACACUAUCAAUCUGCAACAAAGAAGAUGCACAUACAGGUUAAGGUUAUGGGACUUAUCUGGCAUUCCUUGCCCUCAUGCAAUAAAGGCAAUGAUACAUAAGAGAGUAGAGCAUGUAGGUGAAAUCCAUUGGUGGUAUAGUAAAGAGGCAUACUUGCUAACAUAUAAGGAAAAGCUUUAGCCUGUUAGGGGUCGGCAGUUCUGGAAAGUUGAACCUUCACAUGCCAUGUUACCUCCUGAUAUUGUGAAGCAAGUUGGAAGACCCAAACUGAAAAGAAAUAGGGAAGGCAAAAAAAAGGAUAGGGCAGUAGAGUCAAUCAAGGAAGGGGACACAGAUGACAUGUAGUAACUGUGGUGAGCCAAACCACAAUGCAAGGGGUUGUUACAAGCCUAAGUCUUCUGCAAAUGUUGCAAGUUGCAUCCAAACUCAAGAGUCUGAUCAACCAAACCACAAUGAAAAGGGUUGAUACAAGCCUAAGUCUGCCGGAAAGAAUUCUCAAUCAAGUAAAAGAAAGGGUGCAAGCUGUAGUCAAACUCAAGAGUCUUAUGCAAUGGAGAGUGACCAAGAGUCACAUACUGAUUUUGGACCAUUUGCCGCCACCCAAGAGUUUGAACCAUAUGGUCCAGAAGUUGAUAAUGAAGAACCUCCACUUAGGCCAAUGGUUAUUUCAGAAACACAGUCAAGGAUUGAGAGGGGCAACCUAAGAGGGCCAACAACUAGGGCAAGAAAAAUUAAGUUUACUGGAGAUGACACUGGGGCUUCGACACCUACCAAUCUUCCUUAUUCUCCAACUAAGCUGACAUGGAAGGAAAAAUUCACAAUCUCAUCAAGCCAAUUUCAACUUGAGGCAAGAAAGAGAAAUACCAAGAUGAUGGAAACAAAGGGCAGACGAAAAAUUGCACCUGAUAAUGAAGAUUUUCUUUGAAGUCAAUUGCUAUAUUUUUUGUUGUGAUUGGUUACUAAAACAGUUAUGUUUAGUUAGUAAACAAACAGUAAUGGUUGGUUGGUAUUUAACCUUUUUUGGGGUUGGUUUAGUAUCUGAUGGUUAAGUAUGGUAAAACUAGUAUGUGCCUUGUUCAAAUGGUAUUGAUGAAACAUUUUUGGCUAUGUACAAAGCUGUGGAGGCUUAAGUACCA